UCUUCUUUAGUUAGCUCUUGUAACCACUGUUUUGGUAUUGUUUUCAUUAAUUUAGAAUAUUCUGAAAACCAGUUAGCAUGACAGGAAAGUUUAUCUAAGAUCAUGUUUUGAUUAAAUUUUCCUUUAUUAUCAAUAAUGUCAUUUAAAAAAAGAAUUUUACUGUUUAUCCAGUUUUUGAAAAUGAGACAUUUACCGUUUAAUUUGAUAUUUGUAUUGCCCCAUAUAAGCUGCUGUCUAAUUUG
rnacentral:lncRNA from 1 species